CUGUGACUAUGUUUUACAUAUUAUAAAUAAUCAUUCCAGUGAAUCCCUCCAGUAGUUCUAAAUAUACAGAAGAAACACGAUAUGCUGAAGGAGGCCUACGACGCAUCUAUUGCGCGUGACCUCGAAACGUAUAUAGAUGACAACGACCAGAUAAGCAAGGGACAUCCGGCGUGUGCAGCGCGUGGCCGCCCACGGUAUGACCUUAUAUGGUCAAGUAGUAGGAUAAUAGGCAGGGAUAUGAUCCAAGUAUAGCCAUCAUAAUACGUAGCACGAAUAGGCUUCGGCAGACGGACUAACGCCACCGAGCUAGACGGACUAACACCACCGAGCUAGACGGACUAACAACACCGAACUAGACGGACCAACGACAUCGAACUAGGCGAACUAACACCAACGAAGAGCUAGGAGCUAAUAUAUGAAAGUCACAUCUCGCUAGUCUUCAUUAUUUAAAAUAGUCAUUUUGGACUUAGUAAAUUUAUCGUGUUUUGUAUUAAUUAAAUAAAAAGUAUUCAAAUUAUAAAGAAAAAUCAAACUCUUGUUCAUUUAUUCUCAUCACCAUCAAACGAGCGUAGUCAGAUUGUUACAAUUGGCGCUGUGGACAGGGUUUGCAAAAAGAAAAAAUUUUUGGAAACGAAUAUUUUUGAAUUAUUUCAAAAUAUUCUAACCAAAUUAAUUCGAGGAGGCAAUUCAAUCAAAUUGGAUCAUCGUUGGAAGUCUGAUCAACUACCAACAACUCCGCAACAGAAUCCUGUCAGCAACAUCGAUUACGUUCCAAGUCAAAUCACAUGGAGGUACCAACUACACAUACCAUGAAUCAAGUAUCAGCUGCAUUGGUGUAAGUAUUAAUUAUAAGUUGGAAUUUAAGAAUAAUUUUGUUGUCCGUCUCCUAUGGUAUAUUU